AUUGAACGCUGGCGGCAGGCCUAACACAUGCAAGUCGCACGAGUGGCGGACGGGUGAGUAAUGUCUGUGAAACUGCCCGAUGGAGGGGGGUAAAUACUGGACACGGUAGCUAAAACCGCAUACCAUCGGAUGUGCCCCGAUGGGAUUAGCUCGUAGGUGGGGUAACGGCUCACCUAGGCGACGAUCCCUAGCUGGGCUGAGAGGAUGACCAGCCACACUGGAACUGAGACACGGGCCAGACUCCUACGGGAGGCAGCAGUGGGGAAUAUUGCACAAGGGGCGCAAGCCUGAUGCAGCCAUGCAGCGUGUAUGAAGAAGGCCUUCGGGUUGUAAAGUACUUUCAGCGAGGAGACGUUACUCGCAGAAGAAGCACCGGCGAACUCCGUGCCAGCAGCCGCGGUAAUUC
rnacentral:rRNA from 1 species